rnacentral:misc_RNA from 1 species
AUGGAUUGGCUAUUUUUGGGGCUUUUAUUUCUGAUUCUUACAUUGGAAGAUUUAGGGCUAUUGCUAUUGGAACUAUCUCCAGUCUAAUUGGAAUGAUACUUCUUUGGCUCACUACAAUAUUUCCACAACUCAGGCCGUUACCCUGUGGUCAGUAUCAACUUGAUUGUAACGCAGCAACAUCAACGCAACUUGCUGUAAUUUUGUGUUCUUUUGGGCUUAUUGCCAUUGGUGCUGGUUUUGUUAGACCUUGU